AAGAGCGAAUAUUGUACUAUAUUACAUACCCACUCGUAGUUGUGCUCGUUACAUUUAUAUACACGAAAUAAUUCACACGACGGGACUUGGAAACUAUUCGGGAUGAUAUUACACGCUUGCAGUUUAACGUCUACCGUGUUGACAACAUUUUUUUAUUUUAUGUACAAAACCAAAUACAUUGAUAACAGUUAUGUUUGUGAUAGAAAUAUAAAAUAUACUACCAAACGAAUAACUCAAUUCGUCGUUUUAUCGUACUCAUUACGGCGAAAAUGUAGUUAAGUAUAAUAUAACCGACAUUCAUAUACGUACGCGUAUAAAACACACGUAUAGAUUACUGCCAACACACAUAAGUCUUAAAAUGUAUGUAACAAUGUGUAUAUAGUAAUAUAAAUUAAAAACACAACCUCGGUAUUGACUGUUCUUAGAUUCUCAGAAUUGGUAAACAUAAACAAACAAUUUUAACGGAAUAAAGUAAAGAUAUAGCUAAUUUUUUAGGAUACCCGGGAAGAUCAAAAAUAUUAGCACAGCUAUUUUUGUUAACGUGAAUUCGAAUUAAACACACAAUUGUGCUUUAAUAUAAUUGAUUUGUUUUUCGACGAUUUUCCAGUUUUCACUUAUUAUUGAAAAUUGUCGAUAAUA